ensembl:snRNA U2 U2 spliceosomal RNA
AUCACUUCUCGGCCUUUUGGCUAAGAUCAAGUGUAGUAUCUGUUCUUAUCAGUUUAAUAUCUGAUACAUCCUCAAUGCGAGGACUUUAUAUUAAAUGGACUUUUGGGCUCAGUCUAU